rnacentral:rRNA from 1 species
AUUGAACGCUGGCGGCAGGCCUAACACAUGCAAGUCGAACGGUAACAGGAAGCAGCUUGCUGCUUUGCUGACGAGUGGCGGACGGGUGAGUAAUGUCUGGGAAACUGCCUGAUGGAGGGGGAUAACUACUGGAAACGGUAGCUAAUACCGCAUAACGUCGCAAGACCAAAGAGGGGGACCUUCGGGCCUCUUGCCAUCGGAUGUGCCCAGAUGGGAUUAGCUAGUAGGUGGGGAAACGGCUCACCUAGGCGACGAUCCCUAGCUGGUCUGAGAGGAUGACCAGCCACACUGGAACUGAGACACGGUCCAGACUCCUACGGGAGGCAGCAGUGGGGAAUAUUGCACAAUGGGCGCAAGCCUGAUGCAGCCAUGCCGCGUGUAUGAAGAAGGCCUUCGGGUUGUAAAGUACUUUCAGCGGGGAGGAAGGGAGUAAAGUUAAUACCUUUGCUCAUUGACGUUACCCGCAGAAGAAGCACCGGCUAACUCCGU